CUACGGGGUGCUCCAGUGGGGAAUCUUAGACAAUGGGCGCAAGCCUGAUCUAGCCAUGCCGCGUGAGUGACGAAGGCCUUAGGGUCGUAAAGCUCUUUCGCUAGGGAAGAUAAUGACGGUACCCAGUAAAGAAACCCCGGCUAACUCCGUGCCAGCAGCCGCGGUAAUACGGAGGGGGUUGGCGUUGUUCGGAAUUACUGGGCGUAAAGCGCGCGUAGGCGGAUCAGAAAGUUGGGGGUGAAAUCCCGGGGCUCAACCCCGGAACUGCCUUCAAAACUCCUGGUCUUGAGUUCGAGAGAGGUGAGUGGAAUUCCGAGUGUAGAGGUGAAAUUCGUAGAUAUUCGGAGGAACACCAGUGGCGAAGGCGGCUCACUGGCUCGAUACUGACGCUGAGGUGCGAAAGCGUGGGGAGCAAACAGGAUUAGAUACCCGUGUAGUC
rnacentral:rRNA from 1 species